GCACAUGGUAAAUACGCACAUGGGAAAUACGCACAUGGAAAGACGCACAUGGGAAAUACGCACAUGGGAAAGACGCACACGGAAAGAUGCACACAUAUACACACGUACAUGGAAGGUGAGGACACACAUGCUAUCUAGAAUACGCACAUGGGAAAGAUGCACACAGAAACACACGUACAUGGAAGGUCAGGAAACACAUGUACACACUGCUAUCUAGAAUACGCACAUGAGAAAGACGCACAUGAAAGGUGAGCAAACACAUGUACACACUGCUAUCUAGAAUACGCACAUGGGAAAGACGCACAUGGAAGGUCAGGAAACACAUGUACACACUGCUAUCUGGAAUACGCACAUGGGAAAGACGCACAUGGAAGGUCAGGAAACACACGUACACACUGCUAUCUGGAAUACGCACAUGGGAAAGACGCACAUGGAAGGUCAGGAAACACAUGUACACACUGCUAUCUGGAAUACGCACAUGGGAAAGACGUACAUGGAAGGUCAGGAAACACAUGUACACACUGCUAUCUGGAAUACGCACAUGGGAAAGACGUACAUGGAAGGUCAGGAAACACAUGUACACACUGCUAUCUGGAAUACGCACAUGGGAAAGACGCACACAGAAACACACGUACAUGGAAGGUCAGGAAACACACGUACACACUGCUAUCUAGAAUACGCACAUGGGAAAGACGCACAUGGAAGGUCAGGAAACACAUGUACACACUGCUAUCUAGAAUACGCACAUGAGAAAGACGCACAUGGAAGGUCAGGAAACACAUGUACACACUGCUAUCUAGAAUACGCACAUGGGAAAGACGCACACAGAAACACACGUACAUGGAAGGUCAGGAAACACAUGUACACACUGCUAUCUAGAAUACGCACAUGAGAAAGACGUACAUGGAAGGUCAGGAAACACAUGUACACACUGCUAUCUGGAAUACGCACAUGAGAAAGACGUACAUGGAA